rnacentral:rRNA from 1 species
AUUGACGGGCGCCCGCACAAGCGGUGGAGCAUGUGGUUUAAUUCGAUGCAACGCGAAGAACCUUACCUACCCUUGACAUCGUGCGAACUUGGUAGAGAUACCUUGGUGCCUUCGGGAGCGCACAGACAGGUGCUGCAUGGCUGUCGUCAGCUCGUGUUGUGAAAUGUUGGGUUAAGUCCCGUAACGAGCGCAACCCUUGUCCCUAUUUGCCAGCGAUUCGGUCGGGAACUCUAGGGAGACUGCCGGUGACAAACCGGAGGAAGGUGGGGACGACGUCAAGUCAUCAUGGCCCUUACGGGUAGGGCUACACACGUGCUACAAUGGCCGGUACAAAGGGUUGCGAAGCCGCGAGGUGGAGCUAAUCCCGGAAAGCCGGUCUCAGUCCGGAUCGGAGUCUGCAACUCGACUCCGUGAAGUCGGAAUCGCUAGUAAUCGUGAAUCAGAAUGUCACGGUGAAUACGUUCCCGGGCCUUGUACACACCGCCCGUCACACCAUGGGAGUGGACUGCACCAGAAGUGGUUAGCCUA